GUUUCGCCUUUGCGUGUGAGUCUCUCUUCUUGUCCCUCCGUGCGAUUGCCGAGUGUGUGAGUGUGUGUGUGUGAGUGCCACAGUGUCUGUGUUUUUGUGAAAGCCAGGAUUUCAUUGCCCAGCUCCGCCCGCAAAAAGUCAAGUGAAGAGGUGGCGGCGAGCCGAGCGAUCCUGAUCCGCUGCUGAUCCUGAUCCACCCGGAUCCUGACCCGGUCAGUGAGUGUGCGAGUGCGAAGGGCUCAUUGAGGAGGAGAGCAAAAGUGUCAAAAAUAAAAAUCCCCGAAAUCAUAUGCAAUUUGUGCGAUGAUCUCGUCGAAGUUGCCGUGAAAGUUUCGCGACGAACUCGAUCUCCAAUGUGAGUGCAAAAUAGAAUUACGUCAGUCCGCCGAAGAGAAAAGAAUAUUUUUUUGGCUUACAAGAAGCAAGAAACGAGCCAAAAGCAACCACCAACCAUCGGACCAUCAGCCUCCUUAUACUCAUCAAACGCACUGUACUUUGAGUCCAAUAUGUAUCUCAGACUCUGGCAACUCGAAAUUUAUGCAUAUGGAAUCGUAUUUUCGCCUCGAUUGGCCCGCUCCGGCUUUGUGGCUCCGGCUAAUGAAGAUGGGACAAUAAUAAUUUUUAAUAGGUUUUACUAUUUUGGCUAAGAUCAGCUUACGCGCACAGAGAACGCCAGAGACAACGCCAGAGGUGGUGCGGUGGCGGGGUGCUCAAGCUCAAGGCGGAUGGACUGGCAAUAUUCAAAUUGAAUCGCUUUUAUCUCUGUUUUGUCACUAAAUUGGCAACUGAAGUCGAACACUAAAUACGAAAUCCGAACUGAAUGGUAUCGGAAUGGGCACUGGCUAUAUGCGCAAGUAACAGCCAAUGAGAUCAUGAUCCAUAUAUAGUUACCACUCGGACUUCUCACUCUCCGGACGAAUUAAGGCAGCUUGAUUAGCAUUUAUCGUUCUCACUGUAAUUGUUUUUAUUUUUUCUUUUAUCCUAAUCUGAUUUAGAUUUGAUUUGCGGUUGAUUUUUGAUAUUA